CCUUUAUCGCCACUAAGCUUGACC
rnacentral:siRNA from 1 species